rnacentral:rRNA from 1 species
GGGAGGGUUACUGCCAGUCGAACGAAGCACUGGAAGCAGAUUACUUCGGUUUGAAGCUUUCUUUGACUGAGUGGCGCCCGUAUGAGUAACGCGUGGGUAACCUGCCUCAUACAGGGGGAUCAUAGAUAGAAAUGACUGCUAAUACCGCAUAAGCGCACGGUUUCGCAUGGAACAGUGUGAAAAACUCCGGUGGUAUGGGAUGGACCCGCGUCUGAUUAGCUGGUUGGUGGGGUAACGGCCCACCAAGGCGACGAUCAGUAGCCGGCCUGAGAGGGUGAACGGCCACAUUGGGACUGAGACACGGCCCAAACUCCUACGGGAGGCAGCAGUGGGGAAUAUUGCACAAUGGGGGAAACCCUGAUGCAGCGACGCCGCGUGAAGGAAGAAGUAUUUCGGUAUGUAAACUUCUAUCAGCAGGGAAGAAAAUGACGGUACCUGACUAAGAAGCCCCGGCUAACUACGUGCCAGCAGCCGCGGUAAUACGUAGGGGGCAAGCGUUAUCCGGAUUUACUGGGUGUAAAGGGAGCGUAGGCGGUGCAGCAAGUCAGAAGUGAAAGCCCGGGGCUCAACUCCGGGACUGCUUUUGAAACUGUUGAACUAGAUUGCAGGAGAGGUAAGUGGAAUUCCUAGUGUAGCGGUGAAAUGCGUAGAUAUUAGGAGGAACACCAGUGGCGAAGGCGGCUUACUGGACUGUAAAUGACGCUGAGGCUCGAAAGCGUGGGGAGCAGACAGGAUUAGAUACCCUGGUAG